rnacentral:rRNA from 1 species
UACGAAGGGGGCGAGCGUUAUUCGGAAUCACUGGGCGUAAAGCGUGCGUAGGCUGUUUCGCAAGUUGGAAGUGAAAGCCCAGGGCUCAACCCUGGAAUUGCUUUCAAAACUGCGAGACUCGAGUCCGGGAGAGGAUAGCGGAAUUUCCAGUGUAGUAGUGAAAUACGUAGAUAUUGGAAGGAACACCAGUGGCGCAAGCGGCUAUCUGGACCGGUACUGACGCUGAGGCACGGAAAGCGUGGGGAUCAAACAGG